GAAAAGAUGAGCAAAGUCCUAUAGUCCAAAAUAUAAAUGCAGGUACAAAAGAUUUGAAGCAAAAGGACGCAAAUGGCUUAGCAAAUCAACAAGAGUCGGCCUGAUUGCAGUUAGAUUGACGAUCAACCUGAUUGAUUGAGCACAUCCGGAUUUUGAUCAAGCACCUCGCAAAUUUCCCAAGAUGAAAAAUCUCUACGAAAAUUAACUUGGACUCGGUUUUCGAUAGAGUUUCAAGGCAUAGGAAGCUAUCACUUCCUAAGAGCGAGCAAGAAAGCAAGGAUGUUCCAGGAUUUUGUGAAAAAAACGCGAAUAAUAAACAUGUGAAAUUCUUCCAAGAUAAGAGGAGUUUGAGCAAAACUUACAUGGAUUGGCAAAUUAGAGAUGAAGAGCUUUAAUUUGCAAAAGAUUUGAGCAGAUUUGGUUGAAAAGAGACGACCAAGUUGAAGGUUUGGAGUACAACCGAGAAACGAACAGCAGAAGCAGCAAAAAUGGAGAAGAAAGGGGUUUUAUUUCAAAAACUUGACUAUCGCCAAACGACAAGAUUGUCGUCUAGCGUUGGUCUUUGUCGUAUGGCGGCAGAUGUGAAAUUAUGGCAAAAAUAUACACCAGCGCGCGCUGGUGCGACAACAAGAUACGUGGCCCCCAUAUUAGAUUAUGUGGACCUCAUGUAGUAAUUUCGGGUUCCUUGGUACGCCAGUUAGCCCCUAUAAGCAAAUUAACAUGAUUAGUAGUCAGCUUAUUUACAAUCGCAGUAAGUGAUCGGCUUGAUGACGAUCAUAUUGAAUGAUCAACUUUUGACACCUUUGAUUAGUAGUCGGCCCGAUUACGGUCUUGAUUGAUGAUCGGCCUGAUGACGAUCAAAUUAUCGAUUGUAUAUUGAUUACGCAAAUUUGAAAACUAAUUUGGUUAGUGAUUGAUUGUAAUCACAAAAGAUUCCUAGGAUGGAUAUUUCUACAGAGAUUGACUUUAAGAUCGAAGAAUCUCAAGAUAAGGUACUUCCCAAAGCUAGAAAGGUCGAUUACUCCUUAAAGUAAAGACAAGAAGAUUUGAAAAUUCAAGAUGAAGAAGUUUUCAAUAUGAGGCUUUAAGAUUAAAAGAGUCUCUUGCUUGGAUUUGAGAAGGAUGGUUCAAGAUGAAAUAACCUUCGAUAGCUUUCACUAUGAUUAGGGAGGUUAUUAUUUGAUUCGAGAAAAGAACGAUUCGAGAUGAAGCAAUUUUUUAUAGCUUUCGCUAAGAUGAUGGAAAUUAUCAUAUGGAUUUGAGAAGAUGGCACGAGAUGGGCGGUCUUCGACGACGUUCGCUAAGAUUGAGGAGGUUUUCACCCAGAUUUGAGAAGAUGGCACAAGAUGGGCAGUCUUCGGCGACUUUCGCUAAUAUUGAGGAGGUUGUCACCUAGAUUUGACAAGAUAGCACGAGAUGGGAGGUCUUCGACAACGUUCGCUAAGAUGGUGGAGGUUGUCACCUAGAUUUGAGAAGAUAGCACGAGAUGGGCGGUCUACGACAGCGUUCAAUAAGAUUGUGGAGGUUGUCACUUAGAUUUGAGAAGAACAGUUCGUGAUGAGGUGGUCUCACUAGUACAAAAGUGACCUUAAUUUAAGUAACACCAAAUAGUAACACUUUUUAAGUUAUAAAGUUAAUUGAAUAUAAGUAACACCCAUGUAACACUUUAAUUUUAUGUAACAUUUGGUUGUAACACUUUUAUUUUAGGUACCACUUGAUUGUAACACUUUAAUAUUAGGUAACACUUGAUUGUAACCCUUUGAUUAUAUAUUUUUAUGUAACAUUUUAAUUGUAAGUCUUGUACCACUUUGAUAUUGGUGGUUGAUGUUCAAAAAUAAUAAAAGAUAAAUAAAAAUAAACAUUCUUAUGAAGUAUUUGACUUCUCUCUUUCCUACAUACUCUUUCAAUUACCAAUUCCCUGUUCCGACGUCUGAGGUCUCAAAUAAAAAUUCAUCAGUUUAUCACUCACACCCCACCAGUAAUCCCACGUCGACUCCCACCCUAGCCAACGAUGGCCUCGCCGGCCACCUCACGUCCCAACCCAAUGGCCAAUGAAGGUGGAUACCGCACAAGCAUACGGGUUGAGUACUUGAGUGACAAAUUAACAAUCUACACGUUCUUCAUCAGUCGUAUGUCGAUCUAGUAUUCCUAACGGUCGUUGCUACUCACGAAGUGGGUCGGACUUUUUGUUUCAGGCGUGUUAUUGUCGCCUACUACUAUUAUUGAUGCUUGUUAUUGUCAUUGUCGUCUGCUGCUAUUGUUAACUACUGAUGGUAUUGUCGUCUGUUGUUACUGCCUGCUGCUGCUAUCUACCCGCCGUUACUGCUAGUUGUGAUUUACGCGUUGUUAUUGCUAGUUGCGAUUGAAGCGCUGUUACCGCUAGCUUCUGUUAUUACUACUGUCUGUUGGCUAACUACGUUGGGUUAUUUUACCUUUUUGUAUUGGAAUUUGGGUCUGAUCUAGAGAUUGAAGUUGGCUUUCUUUUUUCUUUAUUAUUAGUGUUUAGCCAAACAUACAAACUGCUAUUAAUGGAUGUUUUUUUAUUGUAAGAAACUAUGAAUUAUAUCAAUUGAAAUUAUUAUCUAUCGUA